GGAGAUAUAGCUCAGUGGCACAGUGCCUGCUUAACAAGCACAAGAUCCUGAGUUCAAUUCCCAGUACCA
rnacentral:tRNA from 1 species